AGUGAACGCUGGCGGCAGGCCUAACACAUGCAAGUCGAACGGCAGCACAGUAAGAGCUUGCUCUUACGGGUGGCGAGUGGCGGACGGGUGAGGAAUACAUCGGAAUCUACUUUUUCGUGGGGGAUAACGUAGGGAAACUUACGCUAAUACCGCAUACGACCUACGGGUGAAAGCAGGGGAUCUUCGGACCUUGCGCGAUUGAAUGAGCCGAUGUCGGAUUAGCUAGUUGGCGGGGUAAAGGCCCACCAAGGCGACGAUCCGUAGCUGGUCUGAGAGGAUGAUCAGCCACACUGGAACUGGGACACGGUCCAGACUCCUACGGGAGGCAGCAGUGGGGAAUAUUGGACAAUGGGCGCAAGCCUGAUCCAGCCAUACCGCGUGGGUGAAGAAGGCCUUCGGGUUGUAAAGCCCUUUUGUUGGGAAAGAAAAGCAGCAGGUUAAUACCCCGCUGUUCUGACGGUACCCAAAGAAUAAGCACCGGCUAACUUCGUG
rnacentral:rRNA from 1 species